UACGUAGGGGGCUAGCGUUAUCCGGAAUUACUGGGCGUAAAGGGUGCGUAGGUGGUUUCUUAAGUCAGAUGUGAAAUCCCCGGGCUUAACCCGGGUAUUGCAUUUGAAACUGGGAAGCUAGAGUGCAGGAGAGGGAAGCGGAAUUCCUAGUGUAGCGGUGAAAUGCGUAGAUAUUAGGAGGAACACCAGUGGCGAAGGCGGCUUUCUGGACUGCAACUGACGCUGAGGCACGAAAGCGUGGGUAGCAAACAGGAUUAGAUACCCUGGUAGUCCCUGAG
rnacentral:rRNA from 1 species